CAGGAAAAGAAUUUAAGUCCUACCUUAAGUUUCUUCGUAAUUCUAAUUACUUCACAAAACUUAAGAGCUAUUCAAAUAAGGUACAGCCUAUUUGAAACAGGAUACAACCUACAACAUUGGGUAAUGACUUCUGCUUCAUAAUUAAGUGGGCCUAAGAGCAGCCACCUUUAAAAAAGCGUUAAAGCUUUAUUAUACUAGCACAAUAAUUAUAUUAAUCCCCCAAAACCCUUAUCCCAUACUGAGUGACUUCAUAAUAUUAUGAAAAACCAUAUGCUAGAACUAGUAACAAGAAGAAGACCUUCUCCAAAAUGUACGUAUAGACCAAAAUGAACAACUCAUUGGCAUUUACCGCUUAUGAACUAACAGUAGUAACUCAACAAGAAAACUCUACUAUCCAUAACGUUAACCUUACACUAGCACAUUCCCGGAAAGAUUAAAAGGAAGGGAAGGAACUCGGCAAAUAAUAACCUCGCCUGUUUACCAAAAACAUCGCCUCCUGAAUAAUUAUAGGAGGUCCAGCCUGCCCAGUGACAAAGUUAAACGGCCGCGGUACCCUAACCGUGCAAAGGUAGCGCAAUCACUUGUUCUUUAAAUGAGGACUAGUAUGAAUGGCAUCACGAGGGUUAUACUGUCUCCCCCACCUAAUCAGUGAAACUGAUCUUCCCGUGAAGAAGCGGGAAUAGAAUUAUAAGACGAGAAGACCCCAUGGAGCUUUAAACUCAACAUCAACUGCCCUCUAAAUAACUUAUUAACCACGCAGAUCUGACAGUUAGUUUUCGGUUGGGGUGACCGCGGAGUAAAACAAAACCUCCACGAUGAAAGGAAUUAACCUCCUAAUCUAAGAGCUACAGCUCUAAGAAUCAACAAAUUGACAAAACUUGAUCCAAAUACUUUGAUCAACGAACCAAGUUACCCUGGGGAUAACAGCGCAAUCCAUUUCAAGAGCUCAUAUCGACAAAUGGGUUUACGACCUCGAUGUUGGAUCAGGGUAUCCCAGUGGCGCAGCCGCUA
rnacentral:rRNA from 1 species